AGGGAAUCUUCGGCAAUGGACGGAAGUCUGACCGAGCAACGCCGCGUGAGUGAAGAAGGUUUUCGGAUCGUAAAGCUCUGUUGUAAGAGAAGAACGAGUGUGAGAGUGGAAAGUUCACACUGUGACGGUAUCUUACCAGAAAGGGACGGCUAACUACGUGCCAGCAGCCGCGGUAAUACGUAGGUCCCGAGCGUUGUCCGGAUUUAUUGGGCGUAAAGCGAGCGCAGGCGGUUAGAUAAGUCUGAAGUUAAAGGCUGUGGCUUAACCAUAGUACGCUUUGGAAACUGUUUAACUUGAGUGCGAGAGGGGAGAGUGGAAUUCCAUGUGUAGCGGUGAAAUGCGUAGAUAUAUGGAGGAACACCGGUGGCGAAAGCGGCUCUCUGGUCUGUAACUGACGCUGAGGCUCGAAAGCGUGGGGAGCGAACAGGAUUAGAUACCCUGGUAGUCCACGCCGUAAACGAUGAGUGCUAGGUGUUGGAUCCUUUCCGGGAUUCAGUGCCGCAGCUAACGCAUUAAGCACUCCGCCUGGGGAGUACGACCGCAAGGUUG
rnacentral:rRNA from 1 species